UACGUAGGAUGCAAGCGUUGUCCGGAAUUAUUGGGCGUAAAGAGUUCGUAGGCGGUUGCCUAAGUCUGUUGUUAAAGGCCUGAGUUCAACUCGGGGUAUGGCAAUGGAUACUGGAUGGCUUGAAUUCGGGAGAGGGAUGCAGAAUUCCAGGUGUAGCGGUGAAAUGCGUAGAUAUCUGGAGGAAUACCGGUGGCGAAGGCGGCAUCCUGGACCGACAUUGACGCUGAUGAGCGAAAGCUAGGGGAGCAAACGGG
rnacentral:rRNA from 1 species